UCAGGGUCCUGGACGUGAAUGACAAUGC
rnacentral:piRNA from 1 species